rnacentral:lncRNA from 1 species
ACUUUUCGAGUUCAAGAGUACAUCGACCGUCAUUCGGGUCUUCCACUUAGGUCGUACACAGUUGAUCUGCAAAGCAGUCAGUGCGAGUACUGGUUAUUUCAGACUCUUCAAUAUCCGUGUGCGUAUGUUCAUGCAUCGUGUGUGAGAUCAAACUUAAAUGUUGAUCAAUUCAUAGACGAGAUCUACAUGUUGCAACGUACAUUGCAUAUAUGGGGGAAUAAAUUUCCUGUAAUCACCGAUGUCUCAAACUGGGAAGUUCCACUGCCUGCUUUCCAGAUAGUGCCUAACCAUAGUCUCCGUAGACAUCCUACAGUUCGACCACAAUCUACGAGAAUUCGAAAUGACAUGGACGUCAGGGAGAUGGGCGAACCCAAACUAUGCAUUGUGUGUAAAGCAUCUGGACACAACCGAUCAACUGACCCACAUCGUGUCUAUAUUUCCGGUUAAUCAUCUCAUAAUACCGGACUCUAAGAUGACGAAUGAUAUUCUACGACCGAAUUUUCAGCCUGGGUCAACACUGAAUAAACCCAAACCAAAUAAAAACAAAAAAAAACCACAAGCCCAAAUAAAAAAUGGCCCAAACGGCCCGAAACCUUAACUGGUUUCAGCAGGAACUGAAACCUUAAGUUGCCGCUCCCUCUGCUGCCCAUGUGCCUUCUUAGCGCGCACCACGCCCGAGGUCUG